rnacentral:rRNA from 1 species
CAGCCGCCGCGGGAAUACAGAGGGUGCGAGCGUUAAUCGGAUUUACUGGGCGUAAAGCGUGCGUAGGCGGCUUUUUAAGUCGGAUGUGAAAUCCCUGAGCUUAACUUAGGAAUUGCAUUCGAUACUGGAAAGCUAGAGUAUGGGAGAGGAUGGUAGAAUUCCAGGUGUAGCGGUGAAAUGCGUAGAGAUCUGGAGGAAUACCGAUGGCGAAGGCAGCCAUCUGGCCUAAUACUGACGCUGAGGUACGAAAGCAUGGGGAGCAAACAGGAUUAGAUACCCCUGUAGUCCCUGUCUCUUAUAC